rnacentral:misc_RNA from 1 species
AAAUGCGAUAAGUAGUGUGAAUUGCAGAAUUCAGUGAAUCACCGAAUCUUUGAACGCACAUUGCGCCCCUUGGUAUUCCAUGGGGCAUGCCUGUUCGAGCGUCAUUUGUACCCUCAAGCUCUGCUUGGUGUUGGGUGUUUGUCCCGUCUCCGCGCGUGGACUCGCCCCAAAGUGAUUGGCAGCCGGCGUACUGGUCCCGGAGCGCAGCACAUGUCGCGCAAACGAGUGCCUUGGUACGGCGGCGUCCAUAAGCCCCUCUCUCACGCUCUUGACCUCGGAUCAGGUAGGGAUACCCGCUGAACUUAAGC